AUUGAACGCUGGCGGCAUGCCUUACACAUGCAAGUCGAACGGUAACGGGCCUUCGGGUGCCGACGAGUGGCGAACGGGUGAGUAAUACAUCGGAACGUGCCCGAUCGUGGGGGAUAACGAGGCGAAAGCUUUGCUAAUACCGCAUACGAUCUACGGAUGAAAGCAGGGGACCGCAAGGCCUUGCGCGGACGGAGCGGCCGACGGCAGAUUAGGUAGUUGGUGGGAUAAAGCUUACCAAGCCGACGAUCUGUAGCUGGUCUGAGAGGAUGAUCAGCCACACUGGGACUGAGACACGGCCCAGACUCCUACGGGAGGCAGCAGUGGGGAAUUUUGGACAAUGGGCGCAAGCCUGAUCCAGCCAUGCCGCGUGCAGGAUGAAGGCCUUCGGGUUGUAAACUGCUUUUGUACGGAACGAAAAGCCUUCUUUUAAUACAGGAGGGUCAUGACGGUACCGUAAGAAUAAGCACCGGCUAACUACGUG
rnacentral:rRNA from 1 species